UCGGCUGACUGAGGAAGAUUUCAGGAAGGCUGAGGACUUCAUCAAUCUGAUGAGAGUUUUAUACACAUCCACAGUCUGCGUUUCUCCUGAAAAGAACCCCACAUGUGAUCAGAUCCUGCCAAUUCUCCAAAAGCUUGAGAUGCAUUUUGCUGUUGAAGAGGGAGACACAGUAUUUGUAUCCAACCUUAAUUAGCAAGUGCGGGCAAACCUGUCCAAGUGGUACCAGAUAAAAGAGUCUGUAAAUAAAAUGAUUGAAGAAUACAGGAAAUAAUUCUAUUCCUGUGACUUCAUUGUAUAUUUAAAGAAGAUUUAUGUUUCACAGAGUGAUGACAUCAGGAACUUCCUUGAAUGCUAACUGCAUUAGACCCAUGCUUCAAACAAAAGAUGGACAACUGUGCUACUGUCUUUGACCAGAUCAAGGGGUUACUGGCUGGAAAGCUGACUGACUCUGAGCAGUCAACAAAGCAUGAUCAUCGAGAAGAUGGUGAUGUCACAGUGCAGUCUGAGAAAAAACAAGAAGCUGCAGUGAUGUCACAGCUGCAUUGUCAUGACUCCCAGUGGUGUUGGUGCAUCUCUGCCAAUGAGAGAUGAGAGCUUGGGGCUUCCCACAGAGUUCACACCGAGGCCUGCCUUUGUCUCAUGCACAUGGAGUAUGAGGCCCAAGCGCUGGUACUUAUUAGCUGGAAAACACAAUGGGACCACAGCAUGGAGCCUUACCUAGUCCAAGUUCAAACUGAAUAACAAUACCACAGAAAAUGAAUAUUUUACACAUUUUUCUAAGGAAUUUCGCUGGCUAUUUGAAGCACCAGUCAUUGGCAGAAUCUGUUCCCAUUUUACUGGAUUGGAUCGACUGGACCUUUGCCAAUGUAACAAGGUGUUGGAGUUGUAUCAGUCAGUGAAGUAAUAUGAGGCUUCCUAGGUGAGUAGCAUGAAUUUGUAGUCGUUUGUUUGUUGGUGGUCCGACAGAGGUGUUGAUUGUACCUGCUGUUGUGAUUGUAUCUUGAAAUGGUUUGUAUCAAUUGAAGCACAAGAAUAUUUUAACCCCUUAACAUUCCAACAGCCCGUGGAUGGGACAGGUUUUAAG